rnacentral:rRNA from 1 species
UACGAAGGACCCAAGCGUUAUCCGGAUUUAUUGGGUUUAAAGGGUGCGUAGGCGGGUUAUUAAGUCAGUGGUGAAAGCCUGCAGCUUAACUGCAGAACUGCCAUUGAUACUGAUGAUCUUGAGUAUGAUUGAGGUGGGCGGAAUGUGUCAUGUAGCGGUGAAAUGCUUAGAUAUUAGGAAGAACACCAGUGGCGAAGGCGGCUCACUGGCCCGGUACUGACGCUGAGGCGCGAAAGCGUGGGGAGCAAACAGG